GAUCAGAACAGGUGCGACGGUUCCUUCUGCCGGAGGGAUUAAAAGGGAACGAAGUGCGGAAUUACCAUCCAAUGCUUCGGCUGUCCCCGCAACUGUAAGCGGUAUGUCUUUGCAUUACCGGAUGUAACGGUCCGGGCCACUGAAAACCACGGUUUUCGGGAAGGUUAUGCAUGAUGCCAAGCCGCAAGCCAGGAGACCUGCCGUCCUUAGUGGUUGCGA
rnacentral:ncRNA from 2 species